rnacentral:rRNA from 1 species
AUUGAACGCUGGCGGCAUGCUUUACACAUGCAAGUCGAACGGCAGCGCGGGCUUCGGCCUGGCGGCGAGUGGCGAACGGAUGAGUAAUACACCGGAAGGUGCCCUGCAGAUGGGGAUGGGCCGGCGAAAGCCGAAUGAAUACCGUAUCCGACCUGAUUGUGAAAGGGAGGGUUCUUCGGACCUAGCGCGUUUUGAUGGGCCGUUUGCAGGUUAGCUAGUUGGUGUGGCUAGUGCCUACCAAGGCGACGUUCCAUAGCUGGUCUGAGAGGACGACCGGCCACACUGGGACUGAGACACGGCCCAGACUCCUACGGGAGGCAGCAGUGGGGAAUUUUGGACAAUGGGCGAAAGCCUGAUCCAGCAAUGCCGCGUGUGUGAUGAAGGCCUUCGGGUUGUAAAGCACUUUUGGCGGGAAAGAAAAGGACUGUGCCAAUACCACGGUUCGAUGACGGUACCCGAAGAAUAAGCACCGGCUAACUACGUG